rnacentral:misc_RNA from 1 species
UCGAGUUACACCUCCCAAACCCUUGUGAACAUACCUACUGUUUCGCGGCAGGGGUCCCCGGGACCCUCCCGCCCGCGCCCCCGUAAACAGGGGACGUGCCCCGCCGCAGGAUAACCCUAACUCUAGUUUUACGGACGUUCUUCUGAGUGCUACAAACAAAUAAUUA